rnacentral:lncRNA from 1 species
AACCAGAAUUUUCACUUUGGAGAAUGAAGGAAGAGGAUCAGAGAAAUCAAUAGGGCAGGAUUAGUUGUCUCACAAAGGUGAAGGUCAUUGCCUCUGUGCUGAAAGCAGCUCUAAGCACUAGCACUGUGCUUUGAGAAGAUGAUCGCACACUUCUUGUAUUAAAAUUAAUUGAACUGUACAAAUAUAUCUCAGAUCAUCUAUGCAAUGAUAAUCCAAUCUUAUAAGUUUCUUUUAGGUAAAACUAAUUUAGACUCUUCAAUGUUGCAAUCAUUUUUUUGGUAAAUUUGCUUUUUCUUUAUAAAAGUACCACAUGUUAACUAUGGAAAAUUUAGCAAAAAAUGAUGAAAAUAAAAUUCACCAAUAACUGUGCCACCUAUGCUCACCACAUUUAAUGUUUUGCUUCAUUUCCUGUAUGUCUUCUGUAAUGUUAUGUUUUACAAAUAUGGGAGUUAUUUAGACUGU